AGUCGUAUGGUCUAAUGGUUAUGAUAUCUCGUUCACAAUCUGAAUGUUUUCCGAGAUGGUUCUGAGUUCGAUCCUCAGUACGACUA
rnacentral:tRNA from 2 species